UUUUUGGGUUUUUUUUGGGGGGGGGGGGGUUGAGGCUUUGACAACGAGUGAAGGGCCUGGAGCAGUUGCACUAAUUGAACCAUUGUUAAUUUUCCACUGAUUAUCAGCACCAAACAACAUAUGCACCUACUAGGAAGAAAAGAAACCACUUUCUUCAUCAGUUUAUGAGCACACUUUGCCAUUCUUCUUGGUCCAGUGAACCUUCUGAACUAAGGCUCUCAUCACAUAGGCAAAGAGCCCUGUCUUAGGAUGCUGAUGAGAUGCAACCAGGAUGGAGCCCAUCACAUGGCGCAGGGCUAUUUUUGGUGGACGCCAUCCCGGCUAUGCACUGGCAGCAUGUUGAGAGGCUGCCCUGAGAAACCAGGUGACUACCCGUGUUCUCAUAAAGUGAGCCAGGGACACCACAGGAUCAAGCCGGGGAAAGAUGGGUUUCCGGGUGUGAUGGUAAGGGGGAGGUUUACUGAUGGUUUACUCCACUGCCCAACAGAUUUGCCCCGCUACCCAACGGAUGCCCCACUUAAGGACCUCCAUUUGAUGAGGUCUUUAAAGUGAACCGCCUCCUAGUCUUAAUGUGGCUCCAGAUUUUGGCAUUUCCCCUUCCAGUUUUCUAGACCACAUGAUAUCUUAAGCACACUUGAUAAAAGGAAAUCAUUGGGCAAUUAAUAGCUCUUCUCAUAAAGAGGAAGCUCCUGUAGACAUCUCUUGCUCAAAAAGUUCCAAACAACAUAGCACCACUUCUGCUUUUUGUCACACCCAAUUUUCUUAUCUCUUAGCUGUGGUUGAAACAAAACAGUCACAUAGACCACAGACAUGCAGAAAACAUCUGUCUCUUUGUACUUACUGAAAACACACAGAUACCAUGCAUAUAAAGAACCGCAUGCAUACAUGCAUAUAGGAAACUUAGCAUAGAUAAGCCGGAUGUGUAACAUCAGCCAAUUAGUACAUUGUAUCCAUAUAUGGAACAUUAGGAAACUGUAGAACAAAAGUAUAAAAAACACCUACUGAUAAUGUUUGGUAGGACUCACUUGCGAUAUGCCUAGCACACAGUCAUUCCUGGUUUGUGCAAACUUAAAAUAAAAAUUCUUGGUUCUUCCUUCCACUUGUCUCUUAAUUGGCUUGAGAGAAUGGUGCAGCUUUGAGGUUCCUAGGACUCAGAGGCAGAGAAGAAGAAACUGAAAAAUUAUAUGCUGGAGUCCAGGCUGACAUUAUUCACAUAGGAGUCCUUGAGGGUCAAGCCGGAAUGCCCACAAGUUACAUCUGCAAUCAGAAGCAUGAAACCAAACUAUAAACAGGGAAGCAUGAGCCACUACCAAAGUUCAAAGUCCAAGAAGCUGAAUUCAGAAGCCCUUUGGAGUUAAGCAAAAAAUAAAAAGCAACAGAGACAGAUCUAAGGUCAGGAAUAAACAGGUGCUGGACUUGAAUCAUAACAACAAAGCAAAGAAAGUAGUCACAGUAAAGGAGUCAGACCACUGAGUGGAGUUUAUCUCAAGUUCUCAGCUGAAUAAUGAGCUCCAUCUGUUUUAACUGAUGAUUAAUAUGUUAUCAAACCAUUUAGUCGGAAUCUCCAAAAGGACCCAGCUGCGUACCUCAUGCUUUAUCAGAUUAAACCCUUGAAUAUAAAUGUAUUAAAUUAUAUUUUGAUGUAUGCUGUAUUAAUUGAAAUGUUUUGGAGUUUAUCUUUCUAUCAUCUCUUAAUUCUAUGGAAGGGGUCCUCUAAGGCCAUCCAGUCCAACUCCCUUCUGCCAGGCAGGAAGGUUCCAUCCAAUCCCUCCCUUCAGAGGGUCAUCAAUAUGAUACAUGAUUGAUUGAUAGAUUGAUAGAUGUAUAUGAUAAGCAAAUAUAAGCCAAAGCAUUUGCUGGUUCAUAUAUACAUUGGAUCUUCUAGAACGUACCAAUACCCACCAAAACUACCUAAUAAUCAUUAUUAAUUACUAUUGCAUUGACUUCAUCUUAUGGUGAAUGAGAUAAUCCAGUGAAUGAAAAAUCUCCAAGAUACCCUGUUAACAAGAUUUUCCAUGCUAAUAUUUUCCAUGCUCAGGGCUAUGGUUUCCUUAAUUGUCUAAUCAACUGUAGCACAUUAUUCCUCUUUUACUCUUUUGUUUGUAUUUUGCUGACAUUGCUGUCUUGAGUCAUGUCCCCUAACAUUGAGUCAUGUCCCCUCAAAACGAUUUGCCUUAGGGCUCUUUUAUUUGCCUUUUCCAAAACAGGGCCAGCUAAUACCUUCCAACAAAGGAUUCCCUCAGGCAAGAAACAGCAAGGCUUUGAGGCUGCAAGGCCAUUAAAUGCAAAUCAAGCUGGCCAAUUGCAACAUUCACACAUCUUAAGCAGACAAGGGUUCUUUCUCCCACCGAGGACCUUCCACAGACAUAUAUAAACUUCAAUAGCCUAGUUUCCAAUAGACCUCACAACCUCUGAUGAUCUCUGCCAUAGAUGUGGGCGAAACAUCAGGAGAGAAUGUUUCUAGAACAUGGCCUUGAAGGGGUCACUGAACCAGAGUGACUCCAUGUUGGAUGCCUGUCUGUUUGAAAUCAUUAAUUAGUCUCUCCUUCAGAAAUGAUCUUAAAAUUGCAACUUGCUGUCUUGUUACAAAAUAGCAUGUGUCCUGUAUGUUUAGCAAGAAUCAGUUGUGGUUAAGCUUGUGGUGAAGCCGAUUCUGAGAAAUGUAUGCAAUACAUGUACUUUUGCUCCACCUGUGACGGCUUGUGGUGAGCUACAUCCUGGAGUUGUUUACAAGUCAGGAUGUGCAGCCCACCGCAGGCCGUGCUGGUGGUUUUUCCAAGGAACUAAAAUGUGAUAAACAAGUAGGGUAUAUAUAUGACCCCGGGCAGAUUUGCUUGGGGGCAGACAAUCUUUGCUCGCUUCACUGCAGCGUGAGGCUAUUGUCUGUCUGUAGCUACAAUAAAGGUGUUUGUCCUCAA